rnacentral:rRNA from 1 species
AAGUAAAAGUCGUAACAAGGUUUCCGUAGGUGAACCUGCGGAAGGAUCAUUAUUGAAAUAAACUUGAUAAGUUGCUGCUGGUUCUCUAGGGAACAAUGUGCACACUUGUCAUCUUUGUAUCUUCACCUGUGCACCUUUUGUAGACCUGACUAUCUCUCUGAAUGCUUUAUAUAGCACUUAGGAUUGAGAAUUGACUUCUUGUCUUUUCUUACAUUUUCAGGUCUAUGUUUCUUCAUAUACCCAAUGUAUGUUUAUAGAAUGUAAUUAAUGGGCCUUGGUGCCUAUAAACCUUUACAACUUUCAGCAACGGAUCUCUUGGCUCUCGCAUCGAUGAAGAACGCAGCGAAAUGCGAUAAGUAAUGUGAAUUGCAGAAUUCAGUGAAUCAUCGAAUCUUUGAACGCACCUUGCGCUCCUUGGUAUUCCGAGGAGCAUGCCUGUUUGAGUGUCAUUAAUAUUAUCAACCUUUUUGGUUGGAUUUGGGUUUGCUGGCCUCUAUGAGGUCAGCUCCCCUUAAAUGCAUUAGCAGACAACAUUUUGCCAACUGUCCAUUGGUGUGAUAAUUAUCUACGCUAUUGACAUGAAGCAGAGGUUCAGCUUCUAACUGUCCAUUGACUUGGACAAUUUUAUUAAUAUGACCUCAAAUCAGGUAGGACUACCCGCUGAACUUAAGCAUAUCAAUAAGCGG